AGCCUAUGGGAACUUGCCAAAUUGAAAUACAGCUGUUGUCUCUGUGCUGAGGGAAGAGCAAAAGAGGGAAUCUGAGUUUUAUGGACAAAAUGAAAGAUGUCCUGGAUGAAGGAAUUGUUUUCUAGGAUGAUAUGUACUUCAGAUUGUUUUCUAGUGAGGAAGACAGUGGAUAAUGUAAGAGAAUUUUGCUCAUGCUUCUCCUACAACUGUUGGCUUGCUUAAAGUGUAAACAUAGACCCUUGAAGUGUCUCCAAGACCCAGGAAGACAUUCUGCUGCACCACACAGCAGAAGUGGAGGAGUGGACAGUACUUAACAGUCCUUGUAUAAGAGAAUGCAGCAACCAAUAGGUCUAUGAAUCAUGAAAGCAAAUGAUUAUCAAUUGACACACCAAAACGCUCUUCAAGAUCCUCUGUCUCAUUCAAAUUCACGCCCUGUCUAUCAUUAGAAAACAAACAGCAAAUGAAAAACAUUGCAGAAUGAAAAUUGGACAGAAUGCAGAGAUCAGUGGACUCUAGUCACAAUGGAUAUACUGGCAGCAUGGCUCCUGCAUCUGUGGUCCAUCCUAAAUGCAGAGAAAAUAAUUUAUAUUAUAUUAGCAGUGCUAUAAUAAUAAUAUAUAACAAUAGU
rnacentral:lncRNA from 1 species